CAAUAGCGUAUAUUAAAUUGUUGCGGUUAAACGCUCGUAGUUGGAUAUUUGUUGAGAACUGCCGGUCUACCCCAGUGGUCAGCACACGGUUUGUUCUCGGCACUUUCCUGGGGAGAGUGUUUGCACUUCACUGUGUGGCACAUGAUCCAGAACUUUUACUUUGAGGAAAUGAGAGUGUUUCAAGCAGGCGCCUGUCGUGAAUACGUUAGCAUGGAAUAAUAGCAUGGGACCGCGGCUGAAGCUGUUGGUUUUGGGCCGUGGUAAUUAAAAAUGAGGGAUAGUUAGGGGGUAUUCGUAGUUUAACUGUCAGAGGUGAAAUUCUUGGAUUUUU
rnacentral:rRNA from 1 species